CUUUUGAGGAUGCUGUAAGACCUGCAAAUUUCAAUGUGGUUAUCAAAGCUGUUAAGAAGGUGUGUGGGUAUGAUGAAGAAAAGAACUGCUACUCGACUCCAAGCCUUGCUUUAAAGUUGGGACACUCACUGCAGAAAGUCUGUGAUAUUAUACAUUGCAGAGCACUGAUGGCAGAAGACAGUGCACUGAUAAAGUCAACCCAGAGUUUCAAAACCCUUUAUGCUACAAAGUGGUCAGAACUCAUCUCCCAUACUGCAUUAACCACACUAAACGAGCGGCACUUCAACAAGCCUUCCACACUUCCUUUCACAGAAGAUGUUCAGCGUCUUCAUAGACAUCUGGAGAAGACUACAGAACAAGCACUGAAGGACUUGGAAGAGCAUAGUUCACCAAAAUCAUACAGUGAACUUUGUAAAGCUACCAUGGCAAAUGUAAUACUAUUUAACAGGAGAAGAGGGGGAGAAAUUUCAAAGAUGACACUGAAUGGCUUCCAGGAGAGAGACACUAGUACCCUGCACAAGGAUGUUGCAAUUGGACUGACAAAAUUUGAACUUUACCUUUGUCAACACUUCAGUCGUGUAGAAUUGAGGGGUAAACGAGGACGCAAGGUUGCAGUGCUACUUUCACCAGACAUGGUGAAUGCCAUAACACGGCUGACAGAGAAAAGACAAGACUGUGGUGUUCUGGCAGAAAACAUAUUCCUGUUUGCCAGACCUCAUUGUCUGACUCCCUACAGAGGACAGGACUGUUUGAGGAUUUAUGCGACUGAAUGUGGGGCUGAAAACCCUGAACACCUACGUUCAACGCAGUUGCGCAAACAUGUCGCAACUUUGUCUCAGAUCUUAAACCUCAAGAAUCACGAGUUAGACCAAGUUGCCAACUUCCUAGGUCAUGAUAUUCGUGUUCAUCGCGAAUAUUAUAGACUUCCAGAGGCUACUACCCAGCUUGCCAAAAUAUCCAAACUACUGAUUGCCAUGGAGAAAGGGUCUCUCAAAAGCCUUCAAGGCAAAACACUUGAAGAGAUUGAAAUCGAAGAUAACCUACAGUUGACAGAUUCAAGUGAAGAAAGUGAGGUCGGAGCGGAGCGUGAGGAGGUCGGAGCGGAGCGUGAGGAGGUCGGAGCGGAGCGUGAGGAGGUCGGAGCGGAGCGUGAGGAGGUCGGAGCGGAGCGUGAGGAGGUCGGAGCGGAGCGUGAGGUCAAUGAAGGAAAUCUUGUAUAUCCACAGAUUGAUUCUAUAGAUACUAGAAUGAUGAAGAAAGUUGUCAAGGAACCUCCAGCACAAAGUAAAAAUGGAGCGGGUAAGGUCAUUGAACCCAACAGAAUACUAAACAAGGAGAUGAAGCCAAGCAGUAAGAAGAAAACAAAUGAACAAUCUGCUUCUCUGGAAAAUGCAAGGAGGGUCAAAAAGCAUCCUUGGUCUCCCACGGAGGUUGCUGCGAUAAUGAAUUAUUUUGGCGAACAUAUCAAAAAAGGAAAACUGGCCACUAUUAUCGAAUGCCAGCAAUGCAAAACUGCAGAAGAUCCUGCUCUGGCUGGUCGUUCUAUUCAAAACAUCAGAGAUUUUGUGAGGAAUCGGGGCGUGUCAAAAAAGAAAAUCCUAUGUAGAGGAGUCUACAUAACUCCAAAGUACUUCUUGGAGGAGUUACAAAAGAUAUUUUGUAUGUUUUGGUUUCUCAUUUAUUUAUUUUAGAAUUUUACUAUUAGAAGAUUGGUAAAUUCAUUUUGUUGACACUGUUUUAGUGCAUCUGAUCUAAGAGGACAUAUAAUUUUAUAUUGCCAGUUAUUUUCAUUUCUGUUAACAAAACAAUCCUGUUUUUGUAAAAUGCACUCAAUUUGUUCCUUUUAUUCACCUGUUGCCCUUUUAAUACACACAAAAUACAUGUUUGUGUAUGUGUAUGGCCUUUGUCCUGUUAAUAAAGUUAGCCCUGACAAUUACUGUUCAUGUCAGGGGGAGGAGCCAAGUUACCUAAUUAGUGUUGUCCUCUUAUUACACCAUGUUGUCAGGUUCUUAUAUUUUGAGUUCUGGUGUGUUUUUCACAAUUUUGAAGUGAGAUUUGUGUUGUACAACUCAAAUGGGAUUUUUAAAGAUGCACUUCAUCUAUCUAGCACAAGCGGAAAGGGGGGUCCGUUUAGUGUUGCAAAAAUCUUGUUUGAAAAAAUUGUCCUUCCAAUUCACCUUUACCAGUAU
ensembl:lncRNA